rnacentral:lncRNA from 1 species
CCAAGAGCUUAAUAAUAUUAAGAACUGUUACUAAAAAAAAAACAUUCUCCUAUUCAUCAUUGAAGAUGUUACCUGUCUAGACUAAAAUAUUAAUAUGUGCAGAGUAAAAUAUUGUAUGUUUUUUAAUUGUUUGUAGAAAAAUAGCAAAAAUGAUUGAUGACAAAACUUGGACCGAGAGAACUGCAGAUUCAUUUGAGGAAAUCCCAAGACAAAAAGGAGGCAACAACUGCGGUAUAUAUGUGCUGAUGUAUACACUUUACAUUGCUCUGGGUCAGAAGUUUGAUUUUACAGAGGAAGACAUGCCUUUCAUCAGAAGAUGGUGGUGUACUCUGCUGAUGACUAACUUCGCUGUGCAAAUGUAGGUGUAUAUUAUUUAAUGGUUCUUAUUGUGUGCGCAUGUGUAUAUUUUGUUUGUUUUUUAUAUUUUUACUUUUUGAUUUGAUGCAUUAAGGCCAAGAUGUAAGUUAUCUGAAGGAGAGGAUGGAAGUGAUGAGCCUCCUUUUAAGAAACAACGCCUCCAGGAACAAUCAGAUUGCAGAGGUAUACAUUGAUUUUUUUUUAUUAUUUUGAACAGUGUGAUAGAUUACAACCAAUCCAUUUGCUCAGAUAAGAUGAUGUACAAAUUUGCUUUAUACUCAUGCAGACAUUAUUUGGUUAGGUACACCUAACUAACUGAUUAACAGUCGACUGCAUGGUAGUUGCUAUUAAGUAAAUGCUAAAACAGAUACCCACAGAAAAAGAUUUUGAGUAUAAGGUGUUCUGCUCUAAUUGUGUUCUACGGUGUAAAGAAAUAAUUCAUAUGGAACCAAGGAAUAGGAUAAUAUGAAUUUAAAAUAAUUUAUUCAAUGCUUUCAUUAGAUCAGAGCUUAUGUGGCAUAGUCAGUGCUGAUUGCUAUUUAUUUGCCUGACAGCUGCAGUCCUGACUAGAUAUCUUCAUGU